rnacentral:rRNA from 1 species
UGGCGGACGGGUGAGGAAUACAUCGGAAUCUACUCUGUCGUGGGGGAUAACGUAGGGAAACUUACGCUAAUACCGCAUACGACCUACGGGUGAAAGCAGGGGAUCUUCGGACCUUGCGCGAUUGAAUGAGCCGAUGUCGGAUUAGCUAGUUGGCGGGGUAAAGGCCCACCAAGGCGACGAUCCGUAGCUGGUCUGAGAGGAUGAUCAGCCACACUGGAACUGAGACACGGUCCAGACUCCUACGGGAGGCAGCAGCG